GUGCUUGGCUUCAGAAGCACAUAUGCCAAAAUAAUUAGAACGAUACAGAGAAGAUUAGCAUGGCCCCUGCACAAGGAUGACAUGCAAAUUUGUGAAGCGUUCCAUAUUUUU
rfam:Gorilla gorilla gorilla genomic chromosome, chr4, whole genome shotgun sequence